rnacentral:misc_RNA from 1 species
UAAAUAGAAACAAACAAGUCAGGAUGAAUAUCAGGUGUAGUAGUUGAGAGAAAUAUAUGAAGUCGUAAUAGUUGAUGAGGCAUGAUGAUAAACAUUAAAAUUUGACUUAAAAAAACAAAGAUAUAGCUACAAAAGAAAAUCAGGCUAUCAAACUGAUGGCCCAGCUCCAAGCUACAACACUUUGAACAUCUAUUUCAACUACAACAGCCUAUUAGCUAAAAAGCUAUUUAUGGUUUUUGUCAUCCGAGGUUGCAGCAGAUUUGUUGUACUCUUCCAUUUCCUUCUUGUAUACUUCCAUGGCUUCAGAAGCUUUGGCAUUCCAAAUUAGCCUCUCUUCUUCACCAAGUUCCUUCCAUUUCACAGAAAUCAGUGCAUUAAGGGUAGAGUUGUUGAUCCCUGGCCGCUCCUGCAUUAAACAUUUCCUUGCUUCUUUGCUGAACAGAAGGAAUGAAGAUGCGGGCCUUUUGGGCUUGUUAGGGUCAGCAUUCUGCUGCUUCUUCUUCUGGCGAUUCUCUUUGGUUUUCUUGAUUAUGUUUUCUGUUUUCUCCUUCUUCCUAAGCAGUUGCAGGGCUUCCUGUUUCUGAAGCUUCAACAUCUCUUCCUCUUCCCUCUUGAGAUUCAUAGCUUCUUCAUCCUUUUUCUGCUUGUAAGCCUCCAGUUCUUGCAUAUACUUCUCCUUGUUCUUCUUUGCCAUCUCUUCGUAAGGCCUCCUUUCUUCUUCGGUCAUGUUCUUCCAUUCCUCACCAGCAAUCUUUGCCACCUGACAAAAUCCCAAUUCCAAAACAAAAUCCCAAUUCCAAAACUCUCAGAGAAAAUUAAUAGAAAAACGAUUCAACAAUAUGGAAUGAUGAUGAGAUCUCUCCAAUUACCUCCAGAACAUUCUUGCCCUCUGAAAGUAAAGCAGCCCGUCUCUCAUUUGAGAACAAGAAAAAAGCUGACAUGGGCUGCUUUGGUUUCAGUGGAUCCUUCUCUUUCUUGGUCUUCUUGUUCUCCUUUUCUGCUUCUUGCUUGAAUUGGAUGUAUUGUUCAAGCAAUUCCAUUGCAGUCUUUUGCUUCUGCUCCUCCUCCCAAAGCUCCAUUGCUUCAUCCUCUCGCUUCUCCUUUGCCAUUACCUGCAGAUAGGCUUCCUUUUCAGCCUGAUACUUUUCCUCAUAAGGUUUCUUUUCCUCUGCGCUAACAUUCUUCCACUUUGACCCCAAGAUGUUUGAGAUUUCUUUGAACUCUGCAUCUGGGUUCUCUUUCUUGACCUCAUUCCAUUGAUCUUUGCACCACAAGAUGUAAGGUGGGGAUGGCCUUUUCAUUUCAAGGCCACCCUUCUUCUUCUUCUUGUCUUGGUCUUCUUUCAAUGAUUGAACAAGAGGCAAAGUCAUGUUGGGCUUAAACUCUUUCACUUUCUGCAACUUCUUUAACUCCAUCUGCAACUUCUCCUGCUCUCUGCCCUUGGUUUCGAGCUCUUCCUCUUUGGCCUUCAGCAUCUCAUCUUUCUCCUUCAGUAACUCCUCAGUCUUUUCCUUCUCAAGCCUCAACUUCUGAAGCAUUUCUUGCAUUUCUUGCAUGUCCUUUUCAAAUGAAGAACAAGACUGCUUGGUUUGCUUAGCCUUCCGAGCCUUGGCCUUCGAUUUAUUGGGAGAAGAGCGAGAUUGAGAGAGGCUCUCGUGGUUCUCUUUCAAAGGAUCGGUAUCUGAUGGUUGAGGGGGGAUGGGAGAGAUCUCGGAGAGCUUCUGAGCCAUGAUAUUAGCCUCAUUUGUUGAUGGGUUUUUCUGUUUCAAAGCUUUCCUACUGUUCCUUGGUUUCUUUGUAGGGACUGGCUCAACAGUGUU